UUUGUGGCUGAGUGGAGGGAAAGGUAAAUCCUCUUUCUCUUUUCACAGGUCGAUCAAAAAAUUGCAGCAAAACAUUACCAAACUUCAGCAGCAACAAUGUCAUCUUCAACACCUAAAAGACGCCCAAAAUCAUCUCCCAUAAACCCUAAUUCCAAAAUAAUCCCAAAUCAAUCUCAAAAUCAUAGCUCAUCUUCGACGCUAACAUCAUUACUAGCAGAAGUAGAGCCACCCCCUAAUUUACUCCCUUCCAAAUCCGACUUUCUCAACCUCAUUGCUAUCGUCAUUAUCGCAGCUGUUGUCGCCGUUUUAUGCAACUCCAUCUCCCGCUUCGUCAAUCGCCCUCCUAUUCUUUUCUGUGAUUCCGACGUCGUAGAAUCCGAUGUUUCAUUGCUUGAUUCAUGUGAGCCUUGCCCUAUUAAUGGAAGGUGUUACAAGGGCCAGCUGGAAUGCAUUCAAGGAUUUAGGAAGUACGGCAAGUUAUGCAUUGAAGACGGAGAUAUCUAUGAAGCAGCUAAAAAACUUUCAGGAUGGGCAAAGGAUCAUUUGUGUGAAGCACAUGCACAGUAUAUGUGUGAUGGAACCGGAGCGGUUUGGGUCUCUGAGGAGGAUUUAAUGAACAUGCUGGACAAAGAUGGGGGGUUUCAAGGUUCAACAGUAGAUGUUGAUAUCAAAUACUUGUACUCAAAAGAAAAAGCAAUGGAGGACAUUAAUGGAUUUAUGGAUACAAGAACCAUUGGCAACGGGGACAAAGAGGUUAAAUGUCCUGACGAAUUAGCUGAAAGUUAUAAAACAAUGACAUGUCGUGCUCGACAAUGGGUAGCUAAGAAUCUUCUACUUCUCAUUGCAGUAUUUGCACUGCUCGCAGGAUGUACAUUGUUGCUGUUGAGAAUUCGUAGAAGAUGGUAUUUGACAAAGAGAGCAGAACAUCUUUACCAUCAGGUUUGUGACACACUUGAGGACAAUGCUUUAAUGUCUAGAAGCAUGGGUGACAGAGAAGCCUGGUUAGUUGCCUCAAGGCUCCGAGAUCAUAUCCUUACUCCCAAAGAAAGAAGAGAUCCUCUUCUAUGGAAGAUGGUUGAAGGUUUGGUGGAAUCGGACUCUCGUUUGGACCGCUAUCCAAAGCUUGUGAAGGGUGAAUCAAAGGUGGUGUGGGAAUGGCAAGUGGAAGGUUCUUUGAGUUCUUCCAGGAGAAAGAAGGCGGAGUUUGGCAAUCUGAAUUAUGGCGCAGAUACGAUUAAUUGAAAUUGUUGUGGAUAAGCAAAUGUCUUAGAACAAACACUUCAGUCUUCUACUUGUUUGUUGUGAAGUAGUAUGCAGUUGAAACCCUUUGCUGUUGCAUGGGGAAGAUUAGGAACACCACACACAUGAUCACCCCAAAGCCCCCUAGAGGCUGUUAGAAGUUGGUAUUGGAAUAUCAAUGGUACCAGAAGAGUUGAUAGGAAGCUGUUUUACAUUAGUAGUGCAUAGAGGUGAUCAAAAUACGGGCCAGGCCGGACUUUAACACAAAAAAUAAUGCCCAAACCGAUAUAUUUGGAGUGGGCUUUCAGGUCGGGCUCGGGCUUAAAUCUAAAAAGGAGUAUUUUAAUCUACAAAAUUGCAGAGAUGCACACACCAUGAGGCACAUGAACUUCCUGAAAGACAGUAUCAAUUUAGUCAAGGAACGGCCAUAUUUGUCAUUCGUGUAGAAAAUUAGAUUUCCAUAUACAAAAUUUAUUGUAAUUAUGUAAACUUAAUUUCAUUACAUGAAGAAAUCCAACAGGAAGUUUUGUGGUGAGUUCAGAUUUGUGCUUUAAGCAUCUCAUUGACAUUCUUGUCUGAAAAGUGCUGAUAUGUUUGAUGCUGAUUGGCGGCUUAGAUGAAAUGUGACAUCUUAUAAAUUA